CUCCCCGGCAACCGCACCAAAUUUAAUAUCACUCAAAUUACCCUAAAGAGUGAUUUUACUCUCUCAAAUAAGAGGUCGAAUUGUAGCACUUAGGGAUCAAAUCCGUAGAGAGCUAGAGCACACAAUAUACUAUAGAAAUCAAGAUUAAGCUAGGCAAACAGUUUAUCUCGCCGGUGGAUUUUACUCUUAUACCAAGAACCACAUCCAAUUUUCUCUACAUAAUUUCAUGGGAUUUUUGGUGGUUUAUCUUCAUGUUCAUCAACCGUUGUGGCCAUUAUGAAAAAUCUCCGGUCCUCUCGGACUGUUCACUGGCUACACAUCACUUCUUUAAGGAUUGAAGUUCUUCAAACUAGCUAGCACACAUACAUCUUGAUAGCUGGGAAGUUUCAUUGAAAUCUAUGAAGAGCAUUGAGAUGGGAAUGGGUAAUGAUCAGUCGUAUAUCAUCUUGUUCGCCACUUUACUACUCCUUACCACAUAACUUUUAACCCUAACCACCACUUCAGCCGUUCCCCACAGACCCUCUAACCUUUACCACAAUUCCUCGGCCUUUAACCACAAAACUUCUAAUCCAAACUACAAGCAUACAGACCCUUCAAUCCACAACAAUUCUGACCACAAUAACCACCAAAACACUGUGUCGUCUUACCGAAACACCUAUAGCCCUGUCCACAUCAAUAUUUCUCAUGACCACGUAACCUAUAAUCUUGACCACACAACUUCAUCAUCUACAAACACCAACCAUUAGAUUAAUCUAAAAAUAAAACAAUCUAACGGUUAGGGAAGC
rnacentral:lncRNA from 1 species